GAAAGGGUGACCCAGCAACGCCGCGUGGAGGAUGAAAGUCGUAAGAUUGUAAACUCCUGUGAGAUGAGACGAAAAAAUAAAUUUCGAAAGGAAUUUAUUUUGACUGUAUCGUCAGAGGAAGCCCCGGCUAACUACGUGCCAGCAGCCGCGGUAAUAAA
rnacentral:rRNA from 1 species